GUGCUUGAUGCAAAUCCUGUGCAUGUCAAAGCUCUCUACCACUGAGGAAUGUCAUACAUUUUAGGUGGGGACUUUGAUGAUGCAAAGAAAGAUUUUGAGAAGAUGAUAGCCAUCGAUAAGUCCUCCGAGCUUGAUGCUAUAGCGGCCCUUGUUAAACUUAAACAGAAGGAACAUGAAAUCGAAAAGAAGGCAAGGAAGCAGUUCAAAGGACUAUUGGACAAGAAUCCAUGAGAGAUAUCUAAAGUUGGUGUGGAGUCCAAGAAUGGUGGCGACACGGCAGGGUCCGAUGAGGCGGUGAUAAAUAGGGAUAGAGAUGGAAGCGGGAAGUCUAGUCCUCCGAGUGCAGAAUCAGAUCAUGCAUUUGAUGAAGAGAGGCCAGGACUUAUUGGCCGCAUCUGGUCUGCGAGGCGGAUUUUCUCCUCCACUACUCUGAACAGGCAGCAGUGA
rnacentral:rRNA from 1 species